rnacentral:rRNA from 1 species
GACGGGACCCGCACAAGCGGUGGAUGAUGUGGAUUAAUUCGAUGCAACGCGAAAACCUUACCCACCUUUGACAUGGCAGGAAUCCCGAAGAGAUUUGGGAGUGCUCGACAAGAGAACCGGAACACAGGUGCUGCAUGGCUGUCGUCAGCUCGUGUCGUGAGAUGUUGGGUUAAGUCCCCGCAACGAGCGCAACCCUUGUCAUUAGUUGCCAUCAUUUGGUUGGGCACUCUAAUGAGACUGCCGGUGACAAACCGGAGGAAGGUGGGGAUGACGUCAAGUCCUCAUGGCCCUUAUGGGUAGGGCUUCACACGUCAUACAAUGGUCGGUACAGAGGGUUGCCAACCCGCGAGGGGGAGCUAAUCCCACAAAGCCGAUCGUAGUCCGGAUCGCAGUCUGCAACUCGACUGCGUGAAGUCGGAAUCGCUAGUAAUCGUGGAUCAGCAUGUCACGGUGAAUACGUUCCCGGGCCUU